rnacentral:rRNA from 1 species
UACGUAGGGGGCUAGCGUUGUCCGGAAUCAUUGGGCGUAAAGCGCGUGUAGGCGGUCCGGUAAGUCCGCUGUGAAAGUCGGGGGCUCAACCCUCGGAUGCCGGUGGAUACUGUCGGGCUUGAGUACGGAAGAGGCGAGUGGAAUUCCUGGUGUAGCGGUGAAAUGCGCAGAUAUCAGGAAGAACACCCGUGGCUAAGGCGGCUCUCUAGUACGGUACUGACGCUGAGACGCGAAAGCGUGGGGAGCGAAUAGG